GCCUUGCAAGAAUGAAUUGAAGAAGAAAGAUUCAUUACAACUUGUGAUUUCUCAACAAAAGAUGAAGAAUCCACUCUCUAUCACUCUCACUCUAUGAAGAACAAGCCCUAUCUCUCUCUCUAGAAAUAUUGUAAAAUGAAAAGUAUGAAAAACUAAGAGAAACUAAGAUUUCAAUGAAAUGGUUGAGUGGGCUAUUUAUAGAAUUCCGACUCUGCAUCAACUCGCCUCGCGAGCUCAUUCAUUCGCCAUGGCGAGUUGAGGUUCCUUCGCCAUUGGGUUUGUGCCACGUCAGCUGUGAGAGGCUAAACUGCCCUAGCUCGCCUCGCGAGUCAUUCCACUCGCCAUGGCGAGUUUGCUCGCCUUCCACUCGCCAUUGCGAGUUGGUGGCGUGUAAUCUUUGUUGCUUUCUGGAAUUGCUCGCCUUUUCUGCUUGCCAUGGCGAGUUGGAGGCGAGUGAUCUCAUUUUUCUGCCUUUUUGUACUUUUCUCCAUUUUCUUCUCUUUGCUUGAUGUCUUGAGUUCGAAUCCUGCACAAAUGGGUGAAGUAAGAUAGAUAAAGCGUAAAAGGGCAAUAAUCACUUAUCUCUCGGCUUUUCCCUUAAUAACUUGCAAAACAAGUAACAAAAGUGCCUAAAAUAUAU
rnacentral:lncRNA from 1 species